GGACCAGGCCUCGGAUCGUGAAAGAUGUGGGGCAAUGACCCCGCUCACCCACCCGUAGAGUCGGAGCCCGUUUUAUAUCCCUUUGACCGGAGAGAAGGUGAUUGCUGAGAUAGGAAUGAAAAAAAGGAAAGCAACUGAGCCUCAUUGGAGGCGCCCAGAAGCCCCAGAACCUCCUCCUGGAAGUCCUCCUUGAUUAACCAGAAUCUGCUCUUGACCCCAAAGUCAGGAACUUUCCAUGGCUCGUCACUGCCUACCCCUUCACUUACACCUCUGCUGACAGAGAAGGGCUGUGGUCUGAAUGUCUGUCUAUAACUCAUCAACUUGGGCCACCUUGGCUCUUUUAUCAGUAUUUUUUGACUGUGUCCAAAUUCUCUUGUUAGGUGUGUGACCUGGAACAAAAAACUCUAUAUGAACUUUGUGAACUGGUAUCUACCCCUCCUUUUAGGCUAAUGUUGCCUGUGGACGUUCCCGGAGGCCGGAAUCCCGUCCCGUUCUUCGCCAUUGAGCUCGAUCACAAUCUCACCGGGGACUAACAGUCCACUGAGGUUACACAGCUUAAGGAACAGCAACCUGAAAGUCACUCCCAAGUCAGCUGGACUCUAAGUCAGUGUUUUUGGUGAUGAAGGUAACCCACAAGUAACCUCAGCCUGCGGAUACAGGAGGGCGAGACCUCAGGGCCUGACCCGGAUGAGGGUAGCGAUUUCCUACUGAAACAGCAUCGUCAUGCCAAGACGAAAUGAGACAAGAGCUUCGUACAGUUUUGAGCAAAACGCUGCGCCUGUAUACUGGAAGUGGAGGCGGGCGGUGAGCGGUGUCACUGGUCUCUUCUGACGGUCGUUACUGGUCGUUGGCUGAGCGUCACAAGCCCAUCCUCAGGGCACACCUGCCAGCUCUCUUCUUUGAGUGCCCUGCUCCUGGCCCCUCCAUCAGGCUGAUGAAGUCACUGCCCACUGCUCUUCCUGUUCUCCGGGUUUUCUGGCGCCUCUGACCGAACACCUUGUGUGUCUCCCAUGGCAGCCUUGGGAGAAGAUGGAGAAAACCUCAGGCAGCCUCAGCUGUGGCCAGCGGCUCUCCCUCUGUACUGGGGCUGGACACGCAGAUGUGGAAGCUUAGAGCGGUAGGGGACCUUCAGGCCAACCAGGCCAGCCCCUGUUUUACAGCUAGGGAACUGAGGCCUGGGUGAAGUGACCUGCCCGGGGUCACAUGGCCUGUUAUGUAGAGAGUCCUAGUCACUUGAUAAGCAGCUCACUGCUUCUUUCAAGGUUCACGCCUCUGUUAGGAGUCUCAGGUGAAACGGUGAACAUAAAUGUGCAUGGGGACCUUCCGGACCCAGGGAUCACACCUGGGUCUCCCGCACUGCAGGCAGAUUCUUUACCAUCGGAGCCAACUUAGGCGCGAUUCCCAGUGGAAUGAGAACAACAGUGAGUUGGACUGCCACUUUUAAACCUUCGGUCAGGAUGAUCCCGUGGAGAAGCAAAUGGCAACCCUCUGCAGUAUUCUUGCCUGGAGAAUCCCAUGGACAGAGGAGCCUGGCGGGCUAUAGUCCAAAGGGUUGCAAAGAGUUUGAGCGACUAAGCACGCACACACAGAAUGAAAUUUUAAAAGCUAGGUGAUUCAACGGGUGAAUGGACAGAUAAAUGGUGGUACUUCCAGACAAUGGAAUAUUAUUCAGCACCAACAAUAAAUAGAGAGAGCCAUGAAAAGACACAGAAGAACAGUAAAUGCACAUCACUAAGUCAAAGGAGCCAACCUGCAAAGGCUACAUACUGUGUGAUUCCAAUUAUAUGACAUUCUGGAAAAGACAAAGCUAUGAAGACAGUAAAAAUGUAAGGUGAUGAUACUCCUCUGUAUGUAGAGUUCAGUCCAUCCUGGGGUCACAGAGACUUGGGCUGGAGUCUGAGCCCCACCACAAUCAGCUCUGCAACUUUGGGAAAGUCCUUAACCCCUCUGACCUCAGUUUCUCUAACUCCACAGAAUUGUGUUGUCUUCC